CAGUAGCCGCGGUAAUACGGAGGGCGCGAGCGUUACCCGGAUUUACUGGGCGUAAAGGGCGUGUAGGCGGCCUGGGGCGUCCCAUGUGAAAGGCCACGGCUCAACCGUGGAGGAGCGUGGGAUACGCUCAGGCUAGAGGGUGGGAGAGGGUGGUGGAAUUCCCGGAGUAGCGGUGAAAUGCGCAGAUACCGGGAGGAACGCCGAUGGCGAAGGCAGCCACCUGGUCCACUUCUGACGCUGAGGCGCGAAAGCGUGGGGAGCAAACAGGAUUAGAUACCCCUGUAGUCCCUGUCUCUUAUAA
rnacentral:rRNA from 1 species